ACCCCUCGGAUCCGAAAGAAAUACCCCCUGAAAUUAAGCAUCUAAAU
rnacentral:rRNA from 1 species